GGUCAUGAGUGCCAGCACGAAGCCCCGGCUUGCUGGCCGGCAACCCUCCUCCGCGGUGGGGUGCCCCGGGUGACGACCUGGCCGUGCCGCCGAUCGGCGCACGGCAAGCGCGGGGU
rnacentral:ncRNA from 2 species